AGUGAACGCUGGCGGUAGGCCUAACACAUGCAAGUCGAACGGCAGCACAGUAAGCGCUUGCUCUUACGGGUGGCGAGUGGCGGACGGGUGAGGAAUACAUCGGAAUCUACUUUUUCUUGGGUGAUAACGUAGGGAAACUUACGCUAAUACCGCAUACGUCCUACGGGUGAAAUCAGAGGAUCUUCAGACCUUGCGCGACUGAAUGAGCCGAUGUCGGAUUAGCUAGUUGGCGGGGUAAAGGCCCACCAAGGCGACGAUCCGUAGCUGGUCUGAGAGGAUGAUCAGCCACACUGGAACUGAGACACGGUCCAGACUCCUACGGGAGGCAGCAGUGGGGAAUAUUGGACAAUGGGCGAAAGCCUGAUCCAGCCAUACCGCGUGGGUGAAGAAGGCCUUCGGGUUGUAAAGCCCUUUUGUUGGGAAAGAAAAGCAGCAGGUUAAUACCCCGCUGUUCUGACGGUACCCAAAGAAUAAGCACCGGCUAACUUCGUG
rnacentral:rRNA from 1 species